UGUAUGUAUAAUCUGUUUGUUAUUUAUGUUGAAAAACAAAAUAGUACAAAAUAUGGUACGGUGUAUUUGAUAAUUGUUUCGUUCAAAUUUAUAUGUUUUAUAUGUGGUGUCGUAUUUUUUUUAGCAAUGACUUUUUGUGUUGUUUUUUGGUUGAAACAUAAGAUAUAACCUAAAAUUAAUGUAUAGUGUAUUUUGUGGGAAUAUGUAUAUGUGUAACAAUAUUUACAUUGAUUGUGAUAGUGUAAAUUUCAUCAAUUAUUUUGAGUGAUAGUGUUUUAUUGCAUUCCUCGAGUAGAGCCUCAGAUUCGUCAUACGAAUUAGUGAGUAUCUUCGGAGUGAAGCGCCCUCUACUAAAGUACGCAGGUUAUAUAUUCUCAAUUCACGGCAGGAAGGACAAGGCGAAGCAAUAUUACUACUGUUCUAAAAAGUUCUCGAACAAAUGUGGAGCCAGAUUAGUAAUGAAUGCAAUCGGUCAUUUACAUGUUAUUUCUGAUGAGCACAAUCACGGGCCACCAAAGUUAUGUAAGGCGGCUGAUGGGAACUAUGUCAGAAUAUAAAUUAAUUCAUUUCAUUAUUGUGUAAACCAAUAUACUAUAAAUAUAUACUAACGUAUUUCAGUUGGUUUACAUUAUAUUCUUUGCGUUUGCCGUUAGCUCGUACUAAUCUGAAAAUACACUCUCCUAUAUCUAGACUAAGCCAAACAUAUAAAUAACUCUCUCGAUGUAUCUGUAGACAUAUUUAACACGUCACCCAUUGCAUUUAAGUCUGCUGUUCGGAAUUUUUUGAAUAAUUUUAAAUAGUAUUUAAGUAGUAGCUAUAAUAGUUUUGACUGAUAUAUUUUGUUACUUGGUUUGCAUGUUGUGGCACCUAUAUUCAGUGCACUUACAAUUUUAUUUAGACAUUUACUUGUUUUAAGAUUACUUUUAGUAUAACUGUAACUGGAUGUCCUUAAAUAAAUAAAUUAUUGUCAUUAUAAUUUUUAGGUGACCCUGCAAUCGAGUUUCGAAUUUGUUUUUUUUAUAAGUAAAUUAAACAGCUACAAAUUUG